rnacentral:rRNA from 1 species
UACGUAGGGUGCGAGCGUUAAUCGGAAUUACUGGGCGUAAAGCGUGCGCAGGCGGACUGUUAAGCAAGACGUGAAAUCCCCGGGCUUAACCUGGGAACGGCGUUUUGAACUGGCAGUCUAGAGUGUGUCAGAGGGGGGUAGAAUUCCACGUGUAGCAGUGAAAUGCGUAGAGAUGUGGAGGAAUACCAAUGGCGAAGGCAGCCCCCUGGGAUAACACUGACGCUCAUGUACGAAAGCGUGGGUAGCAAACAGG